UUGGAUUAAUACCGCAUACGCCCUACGGGGGAAAGCUGGGGACCUUCGGGCCUAGCGCUAUCAGAUGAGCCUAUGUCGGAUUAGCUUGUUGGUGAGGUAACGGCUCACCAAGGCGACGAUCCGUAGCUGGUCUGAGAGGAUGAUCAGCCACACUGGGACUGAGACACGGCCCCGACUCCUACGGGAGGCAGCAGUGGGGAAUAUUGGACAAUGGGCGCAAGCCUGAUCCAGCCAUGCCGCGUGUGUGAAGAAGGCCUUCGGGUUGUAAAGCACUUUCAGCGAGGAGGAAAGGGGUGUUGCUAAUAUCAAUGCCCUGUGACGUUACUCGCAGAAGAAGCACCGGCUAACUCCGUGCCAGCAGCCGCGGUAAU
rnacentral:rRNA from 1 species